GACGAACGCUGGCGGCGUGCCUAAUACAUGCAAGUCGAACGCUUCUUACUUAUCGAACUUCGGUUCACCAAGUAAGAGGAGUGGCGAACGGGUGAGUAACACGUGGGUAACCUGCCCAUCAGAGGGGGAUAACACUUGGAAACAGGUGCUAAUACCGCAUAAUUCUUUUUAUCGCAUGGUAAGAAGAUGAAAGGCGCUUUUGCGUCACUGAUGGAUGGACCCGCGGUGCAUUAGCUAGUUGGUAGGGUAAUGGCCUACCAAGGCAACGAUGCAUAGCCGACCUGAGAGGGUGAUCGGCCACACUGGGAAUGAGACACGGCCCAGACUCCUACGGGAGGCAGCAGUAGGGAAUCUUCGGCAAUGGACGAAAGUCUGACCGAGCAACGCCGCGUGAGUGAAGAAGGUUUUCGGAUCGUAAAACUCUGUUGUUAGAGAAGAACAAGGAUGAGAGUAAAAUGUUCAUCCCUUGACGGUAUCUAACCAGAAAGCCACGGCUAACUACGUGCCAGCAGCCGCCGUAA
rnacentral:rRNA from 1 species